UACACACCGCCCGUCACAUCAUGGGAGUUGGUUUUGCCCGAAGUCGCUGACCCGACCCGCAAGGGAGGGAGGUGCCUAAGGUAAGGCCGAUGACUGGGAUG
rnacentral:rRNA from 1 species